UACGAAGGGUGCAAGCGUUACUCGGAAUUACUGGGCGUAAAGCGUGCGUAGGCGGUUUGUUAAGUCCGCUGUGAAAGCCCUGGGCUCAACCUGGGAAUUGCAGUGGAUACUGGCAAGCUAGAGUGCGGUAGAGGAUGGUGGAAUUCCCGGUGUAGCGGUGAAAUGCGUAGAGAUCGGGAGGAACACCCGUGGCGAAGGCGGCUUCCUGGACACCAACUGACGCUGAGACGCGAAAGCGUGGGGAGCAAACAGG
rnacentral:rRNA from 1 species